GAAGCACACACGAGUGAUGCGAAAAUACUCCACAGCCAGAAAUGGGCCUGUCGCGCAUGCGCAAGGCGGAACAACUGUUAGCAAAUUCAAAUUACUCGCAGAGUUACAGUUAGUUAAUCGUCAGACACCGGACAGUUUAGUUAAUCGUCAGACACCGGACAUUUAGUUAAUCGUCAGACACCGGACAGUUUAGUUAAUCGUCAGACACCGCACAGUUCAGUCAAUCAUUAGACCCGGAGAAGUCAGUUAAUCGUCAGACACCGGACAGUUUAGUCAAUCGUCGGACCUCGGAAUAAUCGGUUAAUCGUCCAACCUCGGAGUAGUCUUUCAAUUAUUUCAAAAAAAAGACAACAUCUAAAUUAAAAUCACCGCAUUGGGAGCAGACGAUCAUCUAUUGCUGACAAUAGGCCAUAUUCCAGGACAGAUAAAGCUGAAGUCGACCCAACGAACCUCGACUACGAACGAAAUAG